rnacentral:lncRNA from 1 species
UAGCAUGUAUUUGAUUUAGAUUUAAGUUUGGAUUUGAAGCAAUUCAGUGACCGAAAUCCAAUAAAAAUAUUUAACUUCUAAAAGCUAUAAUGAUGCGGCCAAUUUGGCGUCAAUCUCAAUUCGCUCCACCAUUUUUUAAACGAUCAUAAUUUUUCGCUCGAGUAUCUGAUUUCAGAGUGCAAUCUCAAUUUGGAAAAUAUUUUUUGAGAUUUAUGCGUCGAAUCGCAGAGCCAUUUCGGCUGAGUUUGGAAUCCAAAUUGAAUUGUUCAGCCUCCGUUUUUACAUUUUUAGAUUAAUUAUUUUAGAAAAAUUUUAUAUUUUUCUUAUUUUUACUCCGACUAUUUGAUUAUUUCUUAUGUAAUUAAGUUUAGAGAUAUAUUAGAAUUUAUUAUUUUCG